GCCCCUCUUAUCUCUCUUGAAGAUGAUUUUAUUUGUUUAUUUAUUAUUUUGUGAGUGGUGCAGGAGAAAAAGGUGAUGAAGACUGAGAAGACAAAGAAAGAAGUGGAAAAGUUGAUGAUUGUUGCUACCGUAACCUCUGAAAACAUGAAAUUAAGGGAGACAGAGCUCCAACCUUAACCUCUUGAGCAUGUAAAAAGGGAGGAGCUUUUGAGUAUGAAUUUAUAUGGAUGGAGAUG
rnacentral:misc_RNA from 1 species